UUCUGUCUGCGGUUCGAAUCCGGAC
rnacentral:sRNA from 1 species